CCCGGCUGCUGGUGGUUGUGUGGUGUGGGGAAGAGAGAAGCGAGAGAAACCAGCUGGCGAGGGGUUAAUCGGUUCCAUUGCAAUUGUGUCAUCUCUUUGGGGACCUCUCGCUCAUUUUGUGAGCAACCGCUGAAAGACGAGGCACGGGGGCUCUUUCUUAUUCAGCUGCACGCAGCUUCAGAAGCACCGGACAGCAGCACAGCUGUGCUCAGCCGGCUUGGCCUUGCAGAUGGAUGGAGAAAAGGAUUUGAUAAAAUGGAGAAGAGAAACCUGCCUGUACUCCUGAAUCUGGAGAGUAAACUUUGCCCACAGAAGUUGGGAUAAGGAGGAUGACCACAGGCUGCUAGUCUCAGGUAUCAGUGGAGGUAAGUGAGUACUCCAGCGUGUCAAUGUGGCUCUUUAAGAAACUAAUGCUGUCUCAGACUUUUGAUUCCCCUGCUUGGAAGAAAUAUGGAAGUGAGCAUUAUGGUGGAUGAGUUGAGGGAUGAUCCAUAGUGGAUCAGGCAGUGAUUCUAUCACUACCCCUAUUAUUUCUAGAUGCUAAGUACUUUGCAGCACAUAACCGGUCAGACCAUCAGCUGGUGUCCAAUUGGCAGAGGUCCCCUGAUUUCAAUGGCCAUUUUACACCAGCUGAGGAUC
rnacentral:lncRNA from 1 species